rnacentral:SRP_RNA from 1 species
GCUGGGUGUGGUGGCGUGUGCCUGUAGUCCCAGCUACUUGGGAGGCUGAGGCAGGAGAGUUGCUUGAACCCAGGAGGUGGAGGUUGCAGUGAGCUGAGAUCACGCCACUGCACUCCAGCCUGGGCAACAAAGUAAGACUCUGUCUCAA